GACGAACGCUGGCGGCGUGCUUAAUACAUGCAAGUCGAGCGAGGUCCAUCUGGUGGCAACACCAGUGAAGGCCGAGCGGCGAACGGGUGAGUAACACGUGAGCAACCUGCCCCGAAGUCUGGAAUAACAUCGGGAAACCGGUGCUAAUACCGGAUCGCCCCACCUGACCGCAUGAUCGGGUGAGGAAAGAUUUAUCGCUUCGGGAGGGGCUCGCGGCCUAUCAGCUAGNGGUGGGGUAACGGCCUACCAAGGCAUCGACGGGUAGCUGGUCUGAGAGGACGACCAGCCACACUGGGACUGAGACACGGCCCAGACUCCUACGGGAGGCAGCAGUAGGGAAUCUUGGGCAAUGGGCGCAAGCCUGACCCAGCAAUACCGCGUGAGGGAUGAAGGCCUC
rnacentral:rRNA from 1 species